AGUGAACGCUGGCGGUAGGCCUAACACAUGCAAGUCGAACGGCAGCACAGUAAGAGCUUGCUCUUACGGGUGGCGAGUGGCGGACGGGUGAGGAAUACAUCGGAAUCUACUUUUUCGUGGGGGAUAACGUAGGGAAACUUACGCUAAUACCGCAUACGACCUACGGGUGAAAGCAGUGGAUCUUCGCACCUUGCGCGAUUGAAUGAGCCGAUGUCGGAUUAGCUAGUUGGCGGGGUAAAGGCCCACCAAGGCGACGAUCCGUAGCUGGUCUGAGAGGAUGAUCAGCCACACUGGAACUGAGACACGGUCCAGACUCCUACGGGAGGCAGCAGUGGGGAAUAUUGGACAAUGGGCGCAAGCCUGAUCCAGCAAUACCGCGUGGGUGAAGAAGGCCUUCGGGUUGUAAAGCCCUGUUGUUGGGAAAGAAAAGCAGCAGGUUAAUACCCCGCUGUUCUGACGGUACCCAAAGAAUAAGCACCGGCUAACUUCGUG
rnacentral:rRNA from 1 species